UUACGGCUGUACCACAUUGAAACACCGGUUCCCGUACGAUCACCGAAAUUAAGCAAUGUCGAGACUAGUCAGUACUUACAUGGAUAACCGCUUGUAAG